rnacentral:rRNA from 1 species
UACAGAGGUGGCAAGCGUUGUUCGGAAUUACUGGGCGUAAAGGGCGAGUAGGCGGCCUUCUAAGUCAGACGUGAAAUCCCCCGGCUUAACCUGGGAACUGCGUCUGAUACUGGGAGGCUUGAGUAUGGGAGAGGGAUGUAGAAUUCCAGGUGUAGCGGUGAAAUGCGUAGAUAUCAGGAGGAACACCAAUGGCGAAGGCAGCUCGCUGGGACGUGACUGACGCUGAGACGCGAAAGCGUGGGGAGCAAACAGG